rnacentral:tRNA from 1 species
GGCAAGAUGGCCGAGCGGUCUAAGGCGCUGUGUUCAGGUUACAACCGCGAGGUUACCGAAAAUCGCAGUCCGAAAGGGCGUGGGUUCGAAUCCCACUCUUGUCA